GACGAACGCUGGCGGCGUGCUUAACACAUGCAAGUCGAACGGGCCUUGUCCCCUUUUUUUUUUGGGGGUGGGGUUAGUGGCGAACGGGUGAGUAACACGUGAGUAACCUGCCCCUCACUUCUGGAUAACCGCUUGAAAGGGUGGCUAAUACGGGGUGUUCUGGCCUGCUCGCAUGGGUGGGUUUGGAAAGAUUCGACCGGUUUUGGUUGUUUUGGUGGGGGAUGGGCUCGCGGCCUAUCAGCUUGUUGGUGGGGUGAUGGCCUGCCAAGGCUUUGACGGGUAGCCGGCCUGAGAGGGUGGGCGGUCACACUGGGACUGAGACACGGCCCAGACUCCUACGGGAGGCAGCAGUGGGGAAUAGUGCACAAUGGGCGCAAGCCUGAUGCAGCGACGCCGCGUGAGGGAUGGAGGCCUGCGGGUUGUGAACCUCUUUCGCCAGUGAAGAAGGUCCUGCUCUUUGGGGGGGGGUUGACGGUAGCUGGGUUAAUGAAGCGCCGGCGAACUACGU
rnacentral:rRNA from 1 species